rnacentral:rRNA from 1 species
CCCUUAGAUGUUCUGGGCUGCACGCGUGCUACAAUGAAGCGUCCAACAAGAUGCGAAGCCGAAAGGCUCAGCGGAUCUUUGAAGUCGUUUCGUGACCGGGACAGUUGAUUGCAAUUAUUCGACUCGAACGAGGAAUUCCUUGUAAUCGCGAUUCAUCAUAUCGCGCUGAAUACGUCCCUGCCCUUUGUACACACCGCCCGUCGCUCCUACCGAUUGAGCGAUCCGGUGAAUUAUUUGGAGUGUCCACGCAAGCCAAUCCGUUUACGUGGGUGCGAAAUUUUGUAAACCUUAUCGCUUAGAGGAAGGAAAANUCGUAACA